rnacentral:lncRNA from 1 species
UAUAAACAGUAUUGGAAUAUAUAAAUCACAUCACAUAUAUAAACAAUGUUCCCAUAUAUAAAUCACCUCGCAUGCCAAAUAUAUAAAGGGUGGUUACAAAGCGUUCGCUUCAACCGAAUUAUAUGAAGUACUGUUUAAACCAAUAAACAACGUCUUUUCACUCGACGUUGAGUUUGAGUGGUCAUGGCUGACAAGCAUAUGCGCAUUUUGGCAAAUUUAAUAAAAGCAGUUACCAUGCAAUGUUGCUGAUCGUGGCACAUCACAGGAAUCGAAUAGCGAGGGAACUUAGUUCAGUUAGUGUUGAAGAAACAACAA